AGCUACCUUGCCUUCCUGAUGUACUCUGCCCCCUGCAGCUGUAAGCCGAGACACGCCCUUCCAUCCUAAACUUGCCUUUGUCAGGAAGAAGAAGAAAAGACUAUCAUGGUGAUGUGGACUGAGACUUCAGACACUAUAGACCGUGUGAAAUCCAGGCUGUGAAAGUGGCUCAAGUGGGUGAAGCACUUGCCUUAUGUGUGUGAGGACCUGCAUUUGAGUCUCCAGCACUCCUCCUGGGAUGUGGGAAGUGGAGAAUCAAUCCCCUGGAGCAGGCAGGAAUAUACCAGAUGGCUCUGUGGAGCCCAGCUGUCACCCAGGCCACCAUGUGUAUGAAGUGACCACUAAGCAGCUCUGGACAGAGUAUUGGAAGAUUGGGUGUUUUUGUGGGCUGAGAAGAAACUUGAGGGAAACCUGGAAUCUCUUACCAAUCAUUGAUCACCCGCCUACGACAGGGACUGUCCCACCAAACCUCUAGACAACAAGUGUUCCCAGAUCACAUAUUUGGCUAAGUGUCUAAUUUUACAUUGGAUGACACCGGGAAACAGUAAGUGAAGAGAAGCUCCAGGCAGAGCACGGAUCGGAGUUGAGUACCAGAAUGGGUAUGUGGCGAUCAAGAGAUAACCUGGAGCGUUCACUCACUCCUUCAAUGUGGGACCCAGGGAUCAAACUCACGUCCUCAGCACUUGACAGCAAGUGCCUUUAUUUUGCCCCUGAGCCAUCUCACUGACUCUGGCACGCCAUAUAUUUAAUCAGUAACUUUUUUUUUCUUGUUAGUAAUAAAUAAUGAAUAAAUAAAUAAAUAAUGAUGCUUCUUUGU
rnacentral:lncRNA from 1 species